UCCUUGGUGGUUCAGUGGUCAGGACUCUGCACUUCCACUGCAAGGGGCACAGGUUCGGUCCCUGGUCAGGGGA
rnacentral:tRNA from 1 species